UAGAUACCCCACUAUGCCCAGCCCUAAACUUUGAUAAUCUGGCGCACCCAUUAUCCGCCCGGGUACUACGAGCCCUAGCUUAAAACCCAAAGGACUUGGCGGUGCUUAAGGUCCGCCUAGAGGAGCCUGUUCUAUAACCGAUACCCCUCGUUUAACCUCACCCUCUCUUGUUUUAACCGCCUAUAUACCGCCGCCGUCAGCCCACCCUGUAAAGGUUUAACAGUAAGCAGAAUUGGUACGACCCACAACGCCAGGUCGAGGUGUAGUGUAUGGGAGGGGAAGAAAUGGGCUACAUUUCCUAACCAGGAAAUACACGAACAAUGGUCUGAAACUACCAUUUAGAAGGAGGAUUUAGCAGUAAAUGAAAAACAGAGUGUUUCAUUGAAAAAGGCUCUAAAGCACGCACACACCGCCCG
rnacentral:rRNA from 1 species